rnacentral:lncRNA from 1 species
GUUGAGAGUCAGCUUGUGAAUUCUGGAUAGGUUGAAGAUUUUGAACUUCCUCAAGUUCAACAGACCUCCCACUGUCCCCUUCUUGGAUGAACUCUUUCUCUAAGAAAACGGCAUGCCUACCAACAAAUAUGUUUUGUUGAGUAGGAUAAUAGAAGUAGUAUUCUAUACUCUCCUUGGUAUAACCCACAAACCUGUAUUUUUCUGAUCUAGUAC